rnacentral:rRNA from 1 species
AGUUUUCGGUUAAUCUGUACGCUCACGUACAGGCUGCCGGGAAUACUGCAGAGCUACCUUGUGGGAGAGGUAGACGGUACUCGGUAGGAAGGGGUCAAAUCCUUUGAUCUAUUGAUGACCACCUGUGGCGAAGGCGGUCUACCAGAACACGUCCGACGGUGAGGGAUGAAAGCUGGGGGAGCAAACCGGAUUAGAUACCCGGGUAGUCCCAGCUGUAAACUAUGCAAACUCAGUGAUGCAUUGGCUUGUGGCCAAUGCAGUGCUGCAGGGAAGCCGUUAAGUUUGCCGCCUGGGAAGUACGUACGCAAGUAUGAAACUUAAAGGAAUUGGCGGGGGAGCACCACAAGGGGUGAAGCCUGCGGUUCAAUUGGAGUCAACGCCAGAAAUCUUACCCGGAGAGACAGCAGAAUGAAGGUCAAGCUGAAGACUUUACCAGACAAGCUGAGAGGUGGUGCAUGGCCGUCGCCAGCUCGUGCCGUGAGAUGUCCUGUUAAGUCAGGUAACGAGCGAGAUCCCUGCCUCUAGUUGCCACCAUUACUCUCAGGAGUAGUGGGGCGAAUUAGCGGGACCGCCGCAGUUAAUGCGGAGGAAGGAAGGGGCCACGGCAGGUCAGUAUGCCCCGAAACUCUGGGGCCACACGCGGGCUGCGAUGGUAAUGACAAUUGGUUCCGAAUCCGAAAGGAUGAGGUAAUCCUCAAACGUUACCACAGUUAUGACUGAGGGCUGCAACUCGCCCUCACGAAUAUGGAAUCCCUAGUAACUGCGUGUCAUUAUCGCGCGGUGAAUACGUCCCUGCUCCUUGCAC